UGAUGGCAGCAACGUGAAAAGCUGACAGGUAACCAAAAGCCUUCGCCAGAAAGAAAUGGAGAGGACAAAAAAAAAAAGAAGAAGAAGAGAGCGAUACAAGCGGCACAGGCAGCCUUUCCUGUGAGCACAAAUAGAGCUGCGACAAUGGAGCCGAAAAUGUCACAUUUUCCCUCUCAGCGGAACAAAUGAUUUGGUGGGUCGGCAGUGGCUGGGACAGUGGAAGGAGGAAAUAAUGACGAUAAUUGAAGAACGAUUUUCUCAAGGUGCAACGCUGGAGCAUCCCUCCACCUCUCCGGGCUCUCUUCCAGCUGCUCCCUACUCUCACUACAGAUCACAAUAUCAUCUGCGAAGAUAGUCACACAGAGACUCCUGUCUGACCCUCAGCACUGCAAACAAGAAGGGGCUCAGAGCGGAUCCCUGAUGCAAUCCAACCCCAAGACUAGCAACUGGACAGAAACAGUGACAACCUACCUUAACAAUUCUAUUUGAUCAGCAAUGAAAAUAUGGCACAGAGUUACCAGAAGCACAGCACUAGGCGAGACCAGAUUAAUAGGCAGCGGUCCCCAACCCCUGGGCCACGGACCGAUAUCUGUGAGUCGUUUGGUACCGGG